rnacentral:rRNA from 1 species
GUUCCCUGCCUCACAAGAGGCAGGGGGAAAGAGGGCCUCUGCUUGCNAGCUCUCGCUGUGGGAUGGGCCCGCGGCCUAUCACGUAGUUGGUGGGGUAACGGCCUACCAAGCCUACGACGGGUANCUGGUCUGAGAGGAUGGUCAGCCACACUGGCACUGAGACACGGGCCAGACUCCUACGGGAGGCAGCAGUGGGGAAUAUUGGGCAAUGGGCGAAAGCCUGACCCAGCGACGCCGCGUGGAGGAUGAAGGCCUUCGGGUCGUAAACUCCUGUCAGAGGGGAAGAAGGCGAAAGGGCUAAUACCCCUUUCUGCUUGACGGUACCCUCAGAGGAAGCACCGGCUAACUACGUGCCAGCAGCCGCGGUAAUACGUAGGGUGCAAGCGUUGUUCGGAAUCACUGGGCGUAAAGCGUGCGUAGGCGGCCCCGUAAGUCCAACGUGAAAGCCUGUGGCUCAACCACAGAACUGCGUUGGAUACUGCGGGGCUUA